UACGGAGGGGGCUAGCGUUGUUCGGAAUUACUGGGCGUAAAGCGCGUGUAGGCUGUUCUGCAAGUCGGGUGUGAAAGCCCCGGGCUCAACCUGGGAAGUGCACUCGAAACUGCAGAACUUGAGUCCUGGAGAGGAAGGCGGAAUUCUCGGUGUAGAGGUGAAAUUCGUAGAUAUCGAGAGGAACACCGGUGGCGAAGGCGGCCUUCUGGACAGUGACUGACGCUGAGACGCGAAAGCGUGGGGAGCAAACGGG
rnacentral:rRNA from 1 species